rnacentral:tRNA from 1 species
GGAGGGUUGGCAGAGAGGAUUAUUGCAGCUGUCUAGAAAACAGCAGGUCGUUGAUAGCGAUCCGUGGGUUCGAAUCCCACACCCUCCUCCA